CGAGCGCACUGGCCCAACUGAUAUGACGUGCUUGCACUGAAUUGACGUUUGGAUUCCCAGUGAGCGGCGGACGGGGUGAGUAACACGUGGGCAACCUGCCCUGAAGCGGGGGGAUAACAUCUGGAAACAGGUGCUAAUACCGCAUAACAACGAAAACCACAUGGUUUUCGUUUCAAAGAUGGUUUCGGCUAUCACUUCAGGAUGGGCCCGCGGUGCAUUAGCUAGUUGGUAAGGUAACGGCUUACCAAGGCGAUGAUGCAUAGCCCGAGUUGAGAGACUGAUCGGGCCACAAUGGGAACUGAGACACGGGGUCCAUACUCCUACGGGGGGAGGGGCAGCAGUAGGGGGAAUCUUCCACAAUGGACGCAAGUCUGAUGGAGCAACGCCGCGUGAGUGAAGAAGGUUUUCGGAUCGUAAAGCUCUGUUGUUGGUGAAAAAGGAUAGAGGUAGUAACUGGCCUUUAUUUGACGGUAAUCAACCAGAAAGUCACGGCUAACUACGUGCCAGCAGCCGCGGUAAU
rnacentral:rRNA from 1 species